CACUGGUCAGUUUUCCUGCGCCGUAAAUAUAACGGGGCUAAGUGUGGCGCCGAAGCUGGAGGAAUCAUUACGAUUCGGUAGGGGAGCGUUCCAGCUGGAUUGAAGCGGGCGCGUGAGCAACCGUGGACCGGCUGGAAGUGAGAAUGCUGGCAUGAGUAGCGAGAUGGAGGGGAAGAGCCUCCACGCCGGAAGCCCAAGGUUUCCUAUCCCAGGAUCAUCCGGGUAGGGUCAGUCGGCCCCUAAGGUGUAGCUGAAAAGCGAAGCCGAUGGGAAGCUGGUUAAUAUUCCAGCACCGACAUGUUGGAGCAGAGCGAGGACGAAGAAGGGUACAUCGGCCGGUCAUUGGAUUCCGGUUCAAGCGUGUAGGCCGUUCGCGUAGGAACAAAACGCGCGAACAAGGCCGAGACGCGAUGUCGAAGCCCCUCGGGGCGAAGCGAUGGAUCCCAUGCUUCCUAGAAAGUCGCGGGCUGCGUGAGACAUGUCGACCGUACCGAAAACCGACUCAGGUGGGCAGGUGGAGAACACCGAGGCGAUCGAGAGAACCCAGGUUAAGGAACUAGGCAAAUUGACACCGUAACUUCGGGAGAAGGUGUGCCUCCGGUACGUGAAGCGCCUCGCGCGUGGAGCGGAAGGAGGUCGCAGUGAAGCGGCGGUAGCGACUGUUUAUCAAAAACACAGGACUCUGCGAAAGCGCAAGCUGACGUAUAGGGUCUGACGCCUGCCCGGUGCCGGAAGGUCAAGGGGAGCUGUCAGCGCAAGCGAAGCAGUGAACCGAAGCCCCGGUAAACGGCGGCCGUAACUAUAACGGUCCUAAGGUAGCGAAAUUCCUUGUCGGGUAAGUUCCGACCUGCACGAAUGGCGUAACGACUUCCGCGCUGUCUCGACCUGGGACUCGGCGAAAUUGACAUUGGGGUGAAGAUGCCCCAUACCCGCAGCAAGACGGAAAGACCCUGUGAACCUUUACUGUAGCUUGUCAGUGACGUUCGACUCAAGCUGUGUAGGAUAGGUGGGAGCCUGUGAACCCGGCACGCCAGUGUCGGUGGAGGCAUCGUUGAAAUACCACCCUGUUUGUGUUGGCCGUCUAACCCCCUCGGGGGGACACUGACUGGCAGGCAGUUUGACUGGGGCGGUCGCCUCCCAAAAGGUAACGGAGGCGCGCAAAGGUUCUCUCAGCCCGGACGGAAACCGGGCGUAGAGUGCAAUGGCAUAAGAGAGCUUGACUGUAAGGCCGACGGGCCGAGCAGGUGGGAAACCAGGCCAUAGUGAUCCGGUGGUUCCGCAUGGAAGGGCCAUCGCUCAACGGAUAAAAGGUACUCCGGGGAUAACAGGCUGAUCGCGCCCAAGAGUUCCUAUCGACGGCGCGGUUUGGCACCUCGAUGUCGGCUUCAUCGCAUCCUGGGGCUGGAGCAGGUCCCAAGGGUACGGCUGUUCG
rnacentral:rRNA from 1 species